UCCCUGUCAGUCCAGUGGUUAAGACUCUGUGCUUUCACUGCAGGGGAUACAGGUUCAAUCCCUGGUCAGGGAA
rnacentral:tRNA from 1 species